GUGCUCUCUUCGGCAGCAUAUAUACUAAAAUUGGAACAAUUCAGAGAAGAUUAGCAUGGCCCCUGUGCAAGGAUGACAUGCAAAUUCAUGAAGCAUUUCAUAUUUUU
rnacentral:snRNA from 1 species